UGGGGGAUAUUGCACAAUGGGCGAAAGCCUGAUGCAGCGACGCCGCGUGGGGGAUGAAGGCCUUCGGGUUGUAAACUUCUUUUGCUCUGAACAAGGCAUGCCUUUGGGGUGUGUUGAGUGUAGGGGUUGAUUAGCGCCGACUAACUACGUGCCAGCAGCCGCGGUAAUACGUAGGGCGCGAGCGUUGUCCGGAAUUAUUGGGCGUAAAGGGCUUGUAGGUGGCUGGUUGCGUCUGUCGUGAAAGCUCAUGGCUUAACUGUGGGUUUGCGGUGGGUACGGGCUGGCUUGAGUGCAGUAGGGGAGGCUGGAAUUCCUGGUGUAGCGGUGGAAUGCGCAGAUAUCAGGAGGAAUACCGGUGGCGAAGGCGGGUCUCUGGGCUGUUACUGACGCUGAGGAGCGAAAGCGUGGGGAGCGAACAGG
rnacentral:rRNA from 1 species